rnacentral:rRNA from 1 species
CAAUAGCGUAUAUUAAAGUUGUUGCAGUUAAAAAGCUCGUAGUUGAAUUUCUGUCAGGAGUGACCGGGCCUUUGGAUGAACUUCCAUUGUUUUUUGCUCUGUUUUUCAUCUCUAGACAUCCUGAAAUAUUUUUUAAAAAUAUUUCUCUUUUACUGUUAGCAAAAUAGAGUGUUCCAAGCAAAGCGUAGUUUUGAAUACAUUAGAAUGGAAUAAUAAGAUAGGACUUUGGUGCUAUUUUGUUGGUUUGCACACCAAGGUAAUGAUUAAUAGGGACAGUUGGGGGUAUUCGUAUUUAAUUGUCAGAGGUGAAAUUCUUGGAUUUAUGAAAGACGAACUACUGCGAAAGCAUUUACCAAGGAUGUUUUCAUUAA